GAGAGACUAUGGCUGAAUUGUGUUUCUAUUUAGGACUAGUGAACCAAAUUGCAAUUCAGUGUUUUUUCCUUGGGAGUCAAAUCUAUCAUAUGCAAUAGUCAAUCCUAGAUUUGUUAUUUAUGUUGUAAAUUUUUACUUAAGUUUAAAAAAUAUUGCUCAUUACAUAAUUAUUUAUACUCAAAUUCAGAUUCACUUGAGGAAGGGCUAGUUUGGUAUUACCUCUUAGAAGUAUUUUUGGGAUUAAAAGUAUUUUUGAGAUAAAAGUAUUGUUAAAUAAGAUACUUUUGAGCUUUUUGAUCGGAGACAAAAAAUGUUUUACAAAAGCACUUCUUUGGCCAAAAGUAAAAGCAGAAAAUGUUAAUUUUUGUUCAAAGGUGUUUUUUGAUUUUGAAGUAUUUUUAAAAAGUAAUGUUAAAUUGACUCGAAUUUCUGCAAAACAGCAAAUACCCGAAAUAUUUAAUUUUCUUAUUAUAAAAAAUCCGAAUAUCAGCCUCUCAGGCAUGAAGGAAAAGAAUUGGUUGGCUCCAAAGUUCCACCUCUUUAUCCAUGUUUCAACGCUCGUAGCUCUUACCAACGAUACUCCACUAUCUAUCCCUAAAGAAAGCUUUAUUACGAGGAGGAAGAAGAAAAAACAAUGGUGUCAUCCUUACUUUCGCCUUUCCCCAACGUCAUUUCACAGCCCAACCUCGUCUCUCGCGCCUCUCCUCCUUUCUUUACCAGGGCCCAAAUGUCAUCCGAAUCGCUUCCACCACUUCCUGAACAUCGCAUCGUCCUAGGGUGUGGGUCGGUCGGAGUGGAUUUCUUGGCCUCCGUCGCUUCUUAUCCUAAACCUGAUGACAAAAUCCGAAGCACUAGCUUAAAGGUUCAGGGAGGUGGGAAUGCUGGAAAUGCCUUAACUUGUGUUGCUCGUUUAGGAUUAAAUCCGCGACUAAUUUCUAAGGUUGCCAAUGAUGCCCAAGGCAAGAGUAUAUUGGAGGAGCUUGAGUCUGAUGGAGUCAACACUUCAUUCUUUAUUGUUUCUGAGGAGGGGAAUUCGCCAUUUACUUAUAUAAUUGUUGACAACGAAACGAAAACUCGCACCUGUAUUCACACCCCUGGUUAUCCACCCUUGAUACCAGAUGAACUCUCACAGUCCCAAUUAUUAUCUGCUUUGGAUGGAGCCAAUAUGGUCUAUUUUGAUGGAAGACUGUACGAAACUGCUUUAAUUAUUGCAAAAGAGGCAGCUUGCAAAAAUAUUCCAAUAUUAGUCGAUGCAGAAAGGGAAAGGGAAGGUUUAGAUGAUCUUCUGAAUUUUGCUAGUUAUGCUAUAUGCUCAGCAAGAUUUCCGCAGGCGUGGACAAAGGCUCCAUCUCUUCCAAGUGCACUUCUUUCCAUGCUUCUGAGAUUGCCAAACUUAAAAUUUGUGAUUGUGACACUGGGUGAAGAUGGAUGCAUAAUGCUCGAAAGAAGUGUAAAUGGUGGUUCCGAUGCUGAAGAAAUUGAUAUUCACGGUUUAUUGGAAUCACUGAAGCAGAGAAAAGAUGAAAGCAAGACCAUACCAACAUGUAUCUCAUCGGUGGUUACCAAUUUGAGUGUAAAUGGGAUAGGAACAGUAUUUGGUCGGUUAUUUAUCGGAACAGCUGAAAAGAUUCCACCAUCAGAACUUGUUGACACAACCGGUGCCGGAGAUGCAUUUAUUGGAGCAGUAGUUUACGCUCUCUGUGCGGGCAUGCCACCGGAGAAGAUGUUACCAUUUGCUGCUCAAGUGGCUGCAUCUGGCUGUAGGGCUUUGGGAGCCCGAACUGGUCUUCCACACAGAACAGAUCCACGCUUGGCGACCUUCUUGUGACAUGUCAACUAUGUUAGAGGUUAAGUAAUUUGAAACUUUGCCCUACAACCAAGAGCAUUGAUAUUGCCAUGACAGACUUCUGUCAGGGUCCCAGAGAGGAGUUAUGAAUCUCACAUUGACAGUUUAGAAACACAACCUUCUUUGCCUACAUUAGACUUCUGGUCUUAAUUCACUUAUGUUACACUUAAUAUUACAGGUCAGGGUCCCAGAGAGGAGUUAUGAAUCUCACAUUGACAGUGUACUAGAGUUUGAUUGAAGACUCACAAAGUGUGAGACACUUAAUGUGAACAAAAUUGUGAGGCUUAAAUGACCGAAUCAGAUAAUUGCUUGUAAUUUGGUGUGAAAGCUUUAUAACAUCUUGUAUUGAAAUUGGGUUUGGGUUAUUAGUGAUAGUGAGGUGUCAUUGGAGUGGGGGAUGUUAUGGUCUUAGACAGCAACCAUCAAUCCUACCCCCAUUUGUUGGAAUUACAUUUCAUUUGCAAUAUAAAAAUAUAUUCACAAA